rnacentral:rRNA from 1 species
UACGGAGGGGGCUAGCGUUGUUCGGAAUUACUGGGCGUAAAGCGCGCGUAGGCGGAUCGUUAAGUCGGGGGUGAAAUCCUGGAGCUCAACUCCAGAACUGCCUUUGAUACUGGCGAUCUUGAGUCCGGGAGAGGUGAGUGGAACUCCGAGUGUAGAGGUGAAAUUCGUAGAUAUUCGGAAGAACACCAGUGGCGAAGGCGGCUCACUGGCCCGGUACUGACGCUGAGGUGCGAAAGCGUGGGGAGCAAACAGGG